GGGUGGGUGUCGGGACCGUAGUCGUAGUAGGUCAGCGCAGGAGUGACACGGAAGGGUGGCCGGCUCCGGAGGUGGUUUUCCGGGGCCAAGCACGCGGCCCGUCCCCCAGGCAAAUCCGGGGGGCAUGUAGGGUGAGGUGCGAUGGGACGCGCGUUUUGCGUGGAUCCGGUGAUCCCGGCCGUCGAGAAAAGCUUCGGCGUGAGGGCGUCAGUCCGCCCGUACCCCAAACCGACACUGGUGGUCAGGUAGAGAAUACCAAGGCGAUCGAGCGAAUCCUGGUCAAGGAACUCGGCAAAUCACUCCCGUUCCUUCGGUUUAAGGGAGACCCCCGAUGGUGAACCAACCUGCUUGGGGAGCUGUUGGGGGUGGCACAGACCAGGGGGUAGCGACUGUUUACCAAAAACACAGGUGCAUGCGAAGACGCAAGUCGCUGUAUAUGCACUGACGCCUGCCCGGUGCCGGAAGGUUAAGAGGAUCCGUCAU
rnacentral:rRNA from 1 species